CACGUAGGGCGCAAGCGUUGUCCGGAAUUAUUGGGCGUAAAGAGCUCGUAGGCGGUCUGUCGCGUCGGCUGUGAAAACUCGGGGCUUAACCCCGAGCCUGCAGUCGAUACGGGCAGACUAGAGUCCGGCAGGGGAGACUGGAAUUCCUGGUGUAGCGGUGAAAUGCGCAGAUAUCAGGAGGAACACCGGUGGCGAAGGCGGGUCUCUGGGCCGGAACUGACGCUGAGGAGCGAAAGCGUGGGGAGCGAACAGG
rnacentral:rRNA from 1 species